rnacentral:rRNA from 1 species
GUAGGUGGCAAGCGUUGUCCGGAAUUAUUGGGCGUAAGGCGCGCGCAGGUGGUUCUUUAAGUCUGAUGUGAAAGCCCCCGGGCUCAACCGGGGAGGGUCAUUGGAAACUGGGGAACUUGAGUGCAGGAGAGGAAAGUGGAAUUCCACGUGUAGCGGUGAAAUGCGUAGAUAUGUGGAGGAACACCAGUGGCGAAGGCGACUUUCUGGCCUGUAACUGACACUGAGGCGCGAAAGCGUGGGGAGCAAACAGGAUUAGAUACCCUGGUAGUCCACGCCGUAAACGAUGAGUGCUAAGUGUUGGGGGGUUUCCGCCCCUCAGUGCUGCAGCUAACGCAUUAAGCACUCCGCCUGGGGAGUACGGUCGCAAAGACUG